rnacentral:rRNA from 1 species
UGGGGAAUAUUGGACAAUGGGGGGAACCCUGAUCCAGCCAUGCCGCGUGUGUGAAGAAGGCCUUAUGGUUGUAAAGCACUUUAAGCGAGGAGGAGGCUACUUUAGUUAAUACCUAGAGAUAGUGGACGUUACUCGCAGAAUAAGCACCGGCUAACUCUGUGCCAC